CUGCUUUUGAUUGGACAGAAUUGGUGCCGGAGUAAGGAAGGGGCGGGCCAUCAAGGACCGAGGUGGGUGGGGCUCACGGCGGGUGUGCGGAGUGGGCGGGAAAACGUGGAGCCCGGGGAGAGGCCCCGCUGGGAGUUCUAGUUAGGCUUUGACAGUUGAUGACACCGGAAACUCCGGGGAAACUAAGGCACAGAGAAGUUAGCCUGUGGCUGAGAAGAUUUGAGCUCAGGUCUGUCUGACUGGCUGGUGCCCAGCACUGCCGGGCGACAAGACAGGCAGUUUCUGCAGGCGUGGGACUCACAGUGCGGCUGGUUCCAGCUAGAGGGAUCAUGGAGGUGUCUGUGAAAGAGAAGGUCCUUGAAGGAUACAGAGCAUUUGGCUUUGGGAUAGGGUACUUUUCAGCCAGGACAUUUCAGAGCAAACCAUCAGAGAUCUGCCUGUCCACAAGAGCCAUGUUUUUUUUGCUUUCUUCCUCCACGCUCUAAAUUUCCCAGAGUCUGACCUUCGCAGGGAAGACUAUGAUUUUCCAACACUGCCUGCCACUUAGUGGAGAAGAUUAAUUUGGGGGUUCAGGAGUAGUAAGCCCACUUGUCUUUCAGACCUGAAAGUACAUCUCUAUCAGCUUCGUCAGUAUUAAAGGUGGUAUUUUGAUCUCCCUCUGCCCUACUUCUGUAGCUCUCUCUCAUUUGGUUCUAAACUUGGGUGAGGAUACUCCAAAACCCAACAAUUUCUCAUGGAUGCUGUGAUUGGACUGACUCAGCUCAACUGUUUUCUGUAUCUAUGUAAUUCUACUCAAGAUUCAGAGUCCUGGCUUGGCUUGGAUCUCAUGUUCACCUCCUGGCAAAAGUGGAGAGUACCUUGAUCCACAGUUCCCUCACGCUGCAAGGAAUGGGAAAAGUAGUUCCCCAAAAGCGAAUGAUGACAGUUUCCAAAAUAAGAAGGGAAGAGCUAUUGGGCAUGGAGAAACGACAGAUGUCCACUGCAGGGAGCUAUUGCAAAUGUCCUGGAGAAAGGUAAUGAGGGACCGGACUAUGGAGGUAGAAUUAAUGGGACCUGACAACAGACCAGAUGGGGAUAAAAAUGUCCAAGUCUUGGGGCAAGACUGUGAGUGAACUCUCCGAGAGCGGGGAGACCUUGACUGGAUCUUCUGCCGCUAGCAUGGGGCCUGGCAGCUAGUGGUCAUAAUGAAAGCUGGCAUUUGAUGGUGAAGCACCAGGCAUGGCGCUCAAUGCUUUACACAUAGUAAAUCAUUUAAUCUGCAUGACAACUUGAGGAGGUAGGUGCUAUUAUUAGUCCCAUUUUACAGAUGAAGAAAUGGAAGAACUGACAGGUUAAGUAAUUUGCCCAGGGUUAUGGCUAGUAAAUGUCAGAGCUGGGUACAGAUGCAGGUGGUCUGGCUCUCCAGCCCGUACUGUUAACCACUGUGCCUCAUUGUCUCUCGUAUGUAGUGGGCACUGAUCAAUGUUUGUUGAUUGAAAUCAUAAGGAGGGGUAGUACCAAAGUCAAAGAGUUUCAGGAAGUAUGUUAGUCAGCUUCAGCUAAGUUAUGCUGCAGUGACAUAAACCCAAAAUAUCAGCUUACAGAAAACGUUACAUGUCAGCUGCAGGUCAGCUAUGGUCCUGCUGUUUGUCGGGGAUGCUGGCUGAAGGGGCAGCCCCUGUCUAGAACAGCGUUGCUCUCAAGGGAGAAGGAAAUGAUACACAGGUGCGUGGAGUUGGCUUACACUAGUGAGAGCCAAUAGUGCACAACUCUGCCCAGCUCCACGCUCAAUGAUGUCACAUUGAUAGCUUGAAAUCAGUCACGGUGGGAG
ensembl:lncRNA